CACACUGGGACUGAGACACGGCCCAGACUCCUACGGGAGGCAGCAGUAGGGAAUCUUGGACAAUGGGCGCAAGCCUGAUCCAGCCAUGCCGCGUGAGUGAAGAAGGCCCUAGGGUUGUAAAGCUCUUUCACCCGCGAAGAUAAUGACGGUAGCGGGAUAAGAAGCCCCGGCUAACUCCGUGCCAGCCGCCGCAGUAAAAC
rnacentral:rRNA from 1 species